rnacentral:lncRNA from 1 species
GCUUGGCCCUUCUCCCAUGUAGGGACGCAGCAUUCGUCCCUUUCUCCGUGUAAGGAUGCGGCAAGAAGGCGCCGUGGUGGAGGCAGAGAGGGGCCCUCACCGGACAGUGAGCCUGCCGGCGCCUCCAUCUGAUCUUGGACGUCCCGGCCUCCAGACACGUGAGAAAUUCAUCUCCAUGGCUUGUAAGUUGCCCGGCCUAACGUGUUUCCUUGGGGCAGCAGGAAGGACUAAGAUGCCACCUGUAAUCGAAGCGGCACCCCUUGCCCACUGGCUGCUCUCGACCCGUUUCCUGGGUAUUUCAUUCCUAGCCCUCGUCACAGGCUCUCCUCAGUUCUUAAUUCCUUUGUUCCUUCCUUGUCUUUUCCACCUGACCAUGAGCUCCGCGAGGGCAAGGGCUUCCCUGCUCCCCGCGGGCGCAGCCCAGCGUCUGUCUGGCAAGAGGAGGGCGCGUGAGCCAGUGCUUGCUGCGGAGGAUCGGGAAGGAAAGGCCCUGAGCCAUUCGCUGUGGCUGUUUGCUAACUGCUGUGUCCCCUCCACCACCGGACCGACCACGGUCCCUGGGGGGGAGGCUGACUCGCUCCUCUCUCUGCGACUCCCCACCCUCACGGGAGCGGCAUAAACAUCGCGCUCCACAGAUGCAGCAAGCCGGCCGCGCCAGCUCCAAGCGCCCGCUUUGGGCUUUAUGAAAUGAAAGCAGACGUGGCAGCCCCAUCACUAAACCCAAACUCACCCUCCCUCCCCGGCCCAGAGGCCCCGGAUGGUUGGUCCCAGAUCCUGGAGGAGAAGAACUGCCCUCCAGCAUUUUAAUAGGGGAGGCGGCAGGUCAUUUGGGUUAAAGUGGACCCUAAUUAGCCCUUCCAAGAGCUCAGCCUGGGGACUGGGAGAGAGGGCAAGCUUCUGACAAGGUGAGAGAGCCUCACCUGCUUUGACGGGGACUGAAAAAGGGCAGAGAACUGCGGGUGACAGUGACGCGUCAGGAUGGACCCAUCCCUCGUAGCGGAUGGACCUCCCUGGUGGGGUCACUGGUGCUGGGGAAGCUGUGCCUGUGUGGGGACAAGGGGUCUAUAGCAUAUGUCGGCACCUUCCUCUCGAUUUCGCUGUGGACCUAAAACUGCUCUGAAAACAUUUGUUUUUUUAAAAAAAGCAGAGAGCCACGUGGUCAUUGGCUCCGCCCCAGCCCCUCCCCUCCCCCUCCUGGGUGAAGGGUUCCAGGUCCCAAGUUUGGGAAGAGAGACCUGUUCCACAAGGGGACUGGGUACGUGGCUCCCCAAGCCAGUGGCCCCCCCAGGAGCGAAAGCUGCAUGUUCACGCUCUCUGUGGGUCUCUCGGCUGCCGGGGCAGAUGACUGGAAGGGCACGGUGACCAGCUCACAGCAAGGUUACAAAGCACUUUCCCUCUGUGAUCACUUUCUUUUUUUUUAAUUUUUGAGACAGAGUCUCACUUUGUUGCCCAGGCUAGGACAGUGCCGUGGCGUCAGCCUGGCUCACAGCAACCUCACACUCCUGGC